rnacentral:rRNA from 1 species
CCUACGGGAGUCAGCAGUGGGGAAUAUUGGACAAUGGGGGGAACCCUGAACCAGCGACGCCGCGUGAGUGAAGAAGUAUUUCGGUAUGUAAAGCUCUAUCAGCAGGGAAGAAAGAAAUGACGGUACCUGACUAAGAAGCCCCGGCUAACUACGUGCAAGCAGCCGCGGUAAUACGGAGGGGGCAAGCGUUAUCCGGAUUUACUGGGUGUAAAGGGAGCGUAGACGGCGAUGCAAGUCUGAAGUGAAAGGCGGGGGCCCAACCCCUGGACUGCUUUGGAAACUGUAUGGCUGGAGUGCAGGAGAGGUAAGUGGAAUUCCUAGUGUAGCGGUGAAAUGCGUAGAUAUUAGGAGGAACACCAGUGGCGAAGGCGGCUUACUGGACUGUAACUGACGUUGAGGCUCGAAAGCGUGGGGAGCAAACAGGAUUAGAUACCCCUGUAGUC